rnacentral:rRNA from 1 species
CACCUCUAGCAUUACUAGUAUUAGAGGCACUGCCUGCCCAGUGACACGAGUUAAACGGCCGCGGUAUUCUGACCGUGCAAAGGUAGCAUAAUCAUUUGUUCUAUAAAUAAGGACUUGUAUGAAUGGCCACACGAGGGUUCUACUGUCUCUUACUUCCAAUCGGUGAAAUUGACCUUCCCGUGAAGAGGCGGGAAUAUAACAAUAAGACGAGAAGACCCUAUGGAGCUUUAAUUAACUAACCCAAUAGAAUUUAUUCAAUUAACCAAUAUGGGACAAAGUAAUUCUACAGUGGGACAGCAAUUUAGGUUGGGGCGACCUCGGAGUAUAGCACAACCCCCGAGUGAUAUAAAUCUAGACAUACCUGUCAAAACGAACUAUCAUAAAUUGAUCCAAAAAUUUUUGAUCAACGGAACAAGUUACCCUAGGGAUAACAGCGCAAUCCUAUUCAAGAGUUCAUAUCGACAAUAGGGUUUACGACCUCGAUGUUGGAUCAGGACAUCCCAAUGGUGCAGCAGCUAUUAAAGGUUCGUUUGUUCAACGAUUAAAGUCCUACGUGAUCUGAGUUCAGACCGGAGUAAUCCAGGUCGGUUUCUAUCUAUUAACCAAUCUCUCCCAGUACGAAAGGACAAGAGAGACAAGGCCCACUUCGACGAAGCGCCUUAGGACUAAUAUAUGACAUAAUCUUAAUAUAACCAGUUCAACUACACUAUUCAACCCGAGAACAGGGUUU